rnacentral:rRNA from 1 species
AUUGAACGCUGGCGGCAGGCCUAACACAUGCAAGUCGAGCGGAUGACGGGAGCUUGCUCCUUGAUUCAGCGGCGGACGGGUGAGUAAUGCCUAGGAAUCUGCCUGGUAGUGGGGGACAACGUUUCGAAAGGAACGCUAAUACCGCAUACGUCCUACAGGAGAAAGCAGGGGACCUUCGGGCCUUGCGCUAUCAGAUGAGCCUAGGUCGGAUUAGCUAGUUGGUGGGGUAAUGGCUCACCAAGGCGACGAUCCGUAACUGGUCUGAGAGGAUGAUCAGUCACACUGGAACUGAGACACGGUCCAGACUCCUACGGGAGGCAGCAGUGGGGAAUAUUGGACAAUGGGCGAAAGCCUGAUCCAGCCAUGCCGCGUGUGUGAAGAAGGUCUUCGGAUUGUAAAGCACUUUAAGUUGGGAGGAAGGGCAGUAAGUUAAUACCUUGCUGUUUUGACGUUACCGACAGAAUAAGCACCGGCUAACUCUGUGCCAGCAGCCGCAGUAA